AACGAACGCUGGCGGCAUGCCUAACACAUGCAAGUCGAACGAGACCUUCGGGUCUAGUGGCGCACGGGUGCGUAACACGGGGGAACCUGCCCUUAGGUUCGGAAUAACUCCCCGAAAGGGGUGCUAAUACCGGAUAAUGUCUUCGGACCAAAGAUUUAUCGCCUUUGGAUGGGCCCGCGUUGGAUUAGCUAGUUGGUAGGGGAAAAGCCUACCAAGGCGACGAUCCAUAGCUGGUCUGAGAGGAUGAUCAGCCACACUGGGACUGAGACACGGCCCAGACUCCUACGGGAGGCAGCAGUGGGGAAUAUUGGACAAUGGGCGAAAGCCUGAUCCAGCAAUGCCGCGGGAGUGAUGAAGGCCUUAGGGUUGUAAAGCUCUUUUACCCGGGAUGAUAAUGACAGUACCGGGAGAAUAAGCUCCGGCUAACUCCGUG
rnacentral:rRNA from 1 species